rnacentral:rRNA from 1 species
AUGAACGCUAGCUACAGGCUUAACACAUGCAAGUCGAGGGGCAGCAUUUUAGUUUGCUUGCAAACUGAAGAUGGCGACCGGCGCACGGGUGAGUAACACGUAUCCAACCUGCCGAUAACUCCGGAAUAGCCUUUCGAAAGAAAGAUUAAUACCGGAUGGCAUACGAAUAUCGCAUGAUAUUUUUAUUAAAGAAUUUCGGUUAUCGAUGGGGAUGCGUUCCAUUAGUUUGUUGGCGGGGUAACGGCCCACCAAGACUACGAUGGAUAGGGGUUCUGAGAGGAAGGUCCCCCACAUUGGAACUGAGACACGGUCCAAACUCCUACGGGAGGCAGCAGUGAGGAAUAUUGGUCAAUGGGCGAGAGCCUGAACCAGCCAAGUAGCGUGAAGGAUGAAGGCUCUAUGGGUCGUAAACUUCUUUUAUAUGGGAAUAAAGUUUUCCACGUGUGGAAUUUUGUAUGUACCAUAUGAAUAAGGAUCGGCUAACUCCGUGCCAGCAGCCGCGGUAAUACGGAGGAUCCGAGCGUUAUCCGGAUUUAUUGGGUUUAAAGGGAGCGUAGGUGGAUUGUUAAGUCAGUUGUGAAAGUUUGCGGCUCAACCGUAAAAUUGCAGUUGAAACUGGGAGUCUUGAGUACAGUAGAGGUGGGCGGAAUUCGUGGUGUAGCGGUGAAAUGCUUAGAUAUCACGAAGAACUCCGAUUGCGAAGGCAGCUCACUAGACUGUCACUGACACUGAUGCUCGAAAGUGUGGGUAUCAAACAGGAUUAGAUACCCUGGUAGUCCACACAGUAAACGAUGAAUACUCGCUGUUUGCGAUAUACAGUAAGCGGCCAAGCGAAAGCAUUAAGUAUUCCACCUGGGGAGUACGCCGGCAACGGUGAAACUCAAAGGAAUUGACGGGGGCCCGCACAAGCGGAGGAACAUGUGGUUUAAUUCGAUGAUACGCGAGGAACCUUACCCGGGCUUAAAUUGCAACAGAAUAUAUUGGAAACAGUAUAGCCGUAAGGCUGUUGUGAAGGUGCUGCAUGGUUGUCGUCAGCUCGUGUCGUGAGGUGUCGGCUUAAGUGCCAUAACGAGCGCAACCCUUAUCUUUAGUUACUAACAGGUUAUGCUGAGGACUCUAGAGAGACUGCCGUCGUAAGAUGUGAGGAAGGUGGGGAUGACGUCAAAUCAGCACGGCCCUUACGUCCGGGGCUACACACGUGUUACAAUGGGGGGUACAGAAGGCGGCUACCUGGUGACAGGAUGCUAAUCCCAAAAACCUCUCUCAGUUCGGAUCGAAGUCUGCAACCCGACUUCGUGAAGCUGGAUUCGCUAGUAAUCGCGCAUCAGCCAUGGCGCGGUGAAUACGUUCCCGGGCCUUGUACACACCGCCCGUCAAGCCAUGAAAGCCGGGGGUACCUGAAGUACGUAACCGCAAGGAGCGUCCUAGGGUAAAACUGGUAAUUGGGGCU